UGUUAAAAAUUUCAUCCAUUUGUACUGUUAAAAUUUAGCGUGGCUAAUGGACUAACCAGAUAAUGCCAUGUGUACCUUAUGUAUAGGGACCAGUUUUUAAUAGUAGAAAUGGAUGGAAUUUUUACCA
rfam:Gossypium hirsutum cultivar TM-1 unplaced genomic scaffold scaffold506.1, whole genome shotgun sequence